UACAGAGACUGCAAGCGUUAUUCGGAAUUACUGGGCGUAAAGGGCGCGUAGGCGGCCUGCUAAGUCGAACGUGAAAUCCCUGGGCUCAACCCAGGAACUGCGUCCGAUACUGGUUGGCUUGAAUCCGGGAGAGGGAUGUGGAAUUCCAGGUGUAGCGGUGAAAUGCGUAGAUAUCUGGAGGAACACCGGUGGCGAAGGCGACAUCCUGGACCGGUAUUGACGCUGAGGCGCGAAAGCCAGGGGAGCAAACGGG
rnacentral:rRNA from 1 species